rnacentral:rRNA from 1 species
AUACGGAGGAUGCGAGCGUUAUCCGGAUUUAUUGGGUUUAAAGGGAGCGUAGGUGGGAUAUUAAGUCAGCUGUGAAAGUUUGGGGCUCAACCUUAAAAUUGCAGUUGAUACUGGUUUCCUUGAGUACGGUACAGGUGGGCGGAAUUCGUGGUGUAGCGGUGAAAUGCUUAGAUAUCACGAAGAACUCCGAUCGCGAAGGCAGCUCACCGGGCCGGAACUGACACUGAUGCUCGAAAGUGCGGGUAUCAAACAGGAUUAGAUACCCUGGUAGUCCGCACAGUAAACGAUGAAUACUCGCUGUUUGCGAUACACUGUAAGCGGCCAAGCGAAAGCGUUAAGUAUUCCACCUGGGGAGUACGCCGGCAACGGUGAAACUCAAAUGAAUUGACGGGG